UGUUAGCAGGAGUCCGCGUGAGGGAUUGAAGUGGAGCUCUUUUUUAUUUGGCUUUUUUGCCAAAUAAAAAAAGCGGGAACGGAAAGCCCGACCCGAA
rnacentral:sRNA from 1 species